rnacentral:rRNA from 1 species
GACGAACGCUGGCGGCGUGCUUAACACAUGCAAGUCGAACGAAGUGGCGAACGGGUGAGUAACGCGUAAUCAACCUGCCCUUCAGAGGGGGACAACAGUUGGAAACGACUGCUAAUACCGCAUACUGAAGGAGGGGAUUGCGUUGGAUUGGCUAGUUGGAGGGGUAACGGCCCACCAAGGCGAUGAUCAGUGGCCGGGCUUGGGGGGAUGACGGCCAACAUGGGAAUGGGACACGGCCCAAACUCCCACGGGAGGGAGCAGUGGGGAAUCAUCCGCAAUGGACGAAAGUCUGGCGGAGCAACGCCGCGUGAGUGAUGACGGCCUUCGGGUUGUAAAGCUCUGUUAAUCGGGACGCGUUACCGGAAUAGAAAGCCACGGCUAACUACGUGCCAGCAGCCGCGGUAAUAC